AGACCCGAAACCCGGUGAUCUAGCCAUGGGCAGGUUGAAGGUUGGGUAACACUAACUGGAGGACCGAACCGACUAAUGUUGAAAAAUUAGCGGAUGACCUGUGGCUGGGGGUGAAAGGCCAAUCAAACCGGGAGAUAGCUGGUUCUCCCCGAAAGCUAUUUAGGUAGCGCCUCGUGAAUUCAUCUCCGGGGGUAGAGCACUGUUUCGGCUAGGGGGCCAUCCCGGCUUACCAACCCGAUGCAAACUGCGAAUACCGGAGAAUGUUAUCACGGGAGACACACGGCGGGUGCUAACGUCCGUCGUGAAGAGGGAAACAACCCAGACCGCCAGCUAAGGUCCCAAAGUCAUGGUUAAGUGGGAAACGAUGUGGGAAGGCCCAGACAGCCAGGAUGUUGGCUUAGAAGCAGCCAUCAUUUAAAGAAAGCGUAAUAGCUCACUGGUCGAGUCGGCCUGCGCGGAAGAUGUAACGGGGCUAAACCAUGCACCGAAGCUGCGGCAGCGACGCUGAUGCGUUGUUGGGUAGGGGAGCGUUCUGUAAGCCUGCGAAGGUGUGCUGUGAGGCAUGCUGGAGGUAUCAGAAGUGCGAAUGCUGAC
rnacentral:rRNA from 1 species